CAGUCGCCGCGGUAACACGGAGGGAGCUAGCGUUGUUCGGAAUUACUGGGCGUAAAGCGCACGUAGGCGGUUAUUCAAGUCAGAGGUGAAAGCCCGGGGCUCAACCCCGGAACUGCCUUUGAAACUAUAUGACUGGAAUCUUGGAGAGGUCAGUGGAAUUCCGAGUGUAGAGGUGAAAUUCGUAGAUAUUCGGAAGAACACCAGUGGCGAAGGCGACUGACUGGACAAGUAUUGACGCUGAGGUGCGAAAGCGUGGGGAGCAAACAGGAUUAGAUACCCCCGUAGUCCCUGUCUCUUAUCC
rnacentral:rRNA from 1 species